UUCGUUCCAGAAAUAGACCUUCUGUGAUCUGCUCCAGUCUAAGCCCCUUGUUGUCUUCCUCGUCAGAUUAUCCUGCCGCCUCCUCGUUGCUCUGGUGUGAUCCAUUGUCGCUGGGUUCUGAGUGAGUGUGCCUUUUCCCCUUCGUGGAUCAUCAACCUCCUGUGUGUUUCCCCGACGCUGUCGGUGUUACCGGUCAGACGCCACUCCUCGUGUGUGUGCGUUUUUCCCCCCUCGUUGAUCCAUCUCCGGUGGAUUCCCCUUUGGGACGCCACGGGUGUGGAGACCCACGCCCGAACCCCCUGGAGAACAAACUCUGACGGAUCUAGUUCCAGGCCGUCCUGUCAAGUGAAGCUACCUGACCGCUCUCCUACAAGCUCACUGCCUUCGCUCCACUCCGUCUACAUCACCUACCUUCCAAUAAGACGACCCGGUCCGCUGAUCCAGUAUUCACUAUCUACUACCUGUUCUUUCAAUAAACCAUCAUUGUAUUUUA